rnacentral:rRNA from 3 species
GAAAGACUCUCGGCAACGGAUAUCUCGGCUCUUGCAUCGAUGAAGAACGUAGCGAAAUGCGAUACUUGGUGUGAAUUGCAGAAUCCCGUGAACCAUCGAGUCUUUGAACGCAAGUUGCGCCCGAAGCCAUUAGGCCGAGGGCACGCCUGCCUGGGUGUCGCCCA